CACGUAGGGUGCAAGCGUUAUCCGGAAUCACUGGGCGUAAAGCGUCUGCAGGUGGUUUCCUAAGUCCACUGUUAAACCUUGAGGCUCAACCUCAAAUCUGCAUCGGAAACUAGGAGACUUGAGUAUAGUAGGGGUAGAGGGAAUUUCCAGUGGAGCGGUGAAAUGCGUAGAUAUUGGAAAGAACACCGAUGGCGAAGGCACUCUACUGGGCUAUUACUGACACUCAGAGACGAAAGCUAGGGGAGCAAAUGGG
rnacentral:rRNA from 1 species